rnacentral:rRNA from 1 species
GACGAACGCUGGCGGCGUGCCUAAUACAUGCAAGUCGAACGAAGUGGGGACGGGUUAGUAACACGUUGGUAACCUCCCAUCAGAGGGGAUAACACUUGGAAACAGGUGCUAAACCGAUACUGUUGGAUGUACCCUCGGUGCAUUAGCUAGUUGGUGAGGUAACGGCUCACCAAAGCCACGAUGCAUAGCGGAGCGGUGCGGAGAGUCGGCCACACGGCGACGGAGAAACGGCCCAGCAACGUACGGGAGGCAGCAGGAGGGAAUCUACGGGCAUGGAAGAAAGUCUGACCGAGCACAGCCACGUGAGGGAAGAAGGUUUUCGGAUCGUGAAACUAUGUUGUUAUAGAAGGGGUAUCUAAUCAGAAAGCACCGGCUAACUACGUGCCAGCAGCCGCGGUAAUAC